AUUAAUAUCGCGGUGCGAUAUGAUCAGGCAAGCUCAAACGACCCGAAAGCAGAAUUUUUGGCAAUUGCUCGUAGAAGCGCGAUGAUGUGUUCCUUGGUGAGGCCGAGUGUAGGCCUAUUGGUAAUUUGUCUCUGUGUGCGCUCAAUUAUCUGUGCCCAAAUGCAAAGUCGAAAAUUUUACGUCGUCGAUCGCUUUGACAACUGCCCGAACGAGAAACAUUUGAUAUUUUUCGUUCGCAAUUACACUUACGAGAAAUCAGGGCCAAACUUAAUUGUCAAUGGGUACGAGGACAUCACUAAGGACUCUGAGCAACUACUCUGGAUGAGUAUCGAGGUGGAGAAAUGCAAAGACAAGUCAAACCCGGACACAUGCGAGUAUUUUGUUACUUGGAAAUGGGACAAUGCUUGCUCCUUCUUUGCCGUCCUGCCGCCUUUCAGGUCUUACAUACAAGCACAUUCACCGGCGUGGAAGUGUCCACUGAAAAAAGGCACCUAUAAGGUGACAAACGCAACGAUGGAAGGUGAACUAGGAUUGCAGUUCCUGAAGGGUGACAGCAGAGUUUUGUGGAAACUACGCAUCAUCGUGAAAAAUCCAAGGGCGAAUGUCGUCAUCGAGUGCUUGGAUCUACAUUUCAGGAUCGUUUCUGUUCGGACGAAAUCUUGA
rnacentral:lncRNA from 1 species